UACGUAGGGUGCAAGCGUUGUCCGGAAUUAUUGGGCGUAAAGAGCUCGUAGGCGGUCUGUUGCGUCGGCUGUGAAAACCCGGGGCUCAACCCCGGGCCUGCAGCCGAUACGGGCAGACUAGAGUUCGGCAGGGGAGACUGGAAUUCCUGGUGUAGCGGUGGAAUGCGCAGAUAUCAGGAGGAACACCGGUGGCGAAGGCGGGUCUCUGGGCCGAUACUGACGCUGAGGAGCGAAAGCGUGGGGAGCGAACAGG
rnacentral:rRNA from 1 species